GCUGAGGUGGCCGAGUGGUUUAAGGCGCAGGUUUGCUAAACCUGUGGGCUCUGCCCUCGAGGGUUCGAAUCCCUCCCUCAGCG
rnacentral:tRNA from 1 species